rnacentral:sRNA from 1 species
GGACCGAGAAGUUACCCGAGUUCGUUAGAUUUAAAGAUACACCCUAUCUUUUAUCACUCCAGCGUUGGUACCACUGUACCUAUACUAGGAUACCCUCGGCGGAAUGGCAAGCUGGUUACCAAAUGCUGAGAGACAUCCCUCUCUCCGGCUGUCAGCACGGCUUGACUAAACGUCGGCACCUGCGCUUCUCCACUUUUCUACCCAGUGGUAGUGCUAUGUACCAUGGUCCUUCGUUAUUACACAUAGGACUCUGGCACGCACAUCGCAGCAAC